rnacentral:rRNA from 1 species
AUUGAACGCUGGCGGCAGGCCUAACACAUGCAAGUCGAGCGAGCGGCGGAAGGGUGAGUAAUGUAUGGGGACUGCCCGAUAGAGGGGGAUAACUACUGGAAACGGUAGCUAAUACAGCAACCUAUCGGAUAACCCAUAGGGGCUUGGCGAGUAGGUGAGGUAAUGGCUCACCUAGGCGACGAUCCCUAGCUGGUCUGUGCGGAGGAUCAGCCACACUGGGACUGAGACACGGCCCAACCUCCUACGGAGGCAGCAGUGGGGAAGAUUGCACAAUGGGCGCAAGCCUGAUGCAGCCAUGCCGCGUGUAUGAUGAAGGCCCUAGGGUUGUAAAGUACUUUCAGUCGGGAGGCGUUACCGACAGAAGAAGCACCGGCUAACUCCGUGCCAGCAGCCGCGGUAAUUC